GGAGUUAGCCGGUGCUUCUUCUGUGAGUGAUGUCCUUCCUGCCGGUUAUUGACCCGCAGGCCUUCUUCCUCACUGAAAGUGCUUUACAACCCGAAGGCCUUCUUCACACACGCGGCAUGGCUGGAUCAGGGUUGCCCCCAUUGUCCAAUAUUCCCCACUGCUGCCUCCCGUAGGAGUCUGGGCCGUGUCUCAGUCCCAGUGUGGCUGAUCAUCCUCUCAGACCAGCUACGGAUCGUCGCCUUGGUGAGCCGUUACCUCACCAACCAGCUAAUCCGACAUAGGCUCAUCCGAUAGCGCGAGGCCCGAAGGUCCCCCGCUUUCCCCCGUAGGGCGUAUGCGGUAUUAGCCUGGGUUUCCCCAGGUUAUCCCCCACUACCGGGCAGAUUCCUAUGCAUUACUCACCCGUCCGCCGCUCGCCACCAGGGAGCAAGCUCCCCGUGCUGCCGCUCGACUUGCAUGUGUAGCUCGCCGCCACGCGUCAUACUGAGCCGAGAGUACAAACUACUCGA
rnacentral:rRNA from 1 species